rnacentral:lncRNA from 1 species
CUGAGAAGUAAAUAGUUGUAGGUGGAUUGGGGAAGAAUACCAGAAUUCGAAGUUUCACCACACUGGAGAUGAUUAUAACACUUUUUCCUUCAGGUCUCCCACUGCUUGUUCAAAAACCUGGUUGCAGUUGCAGAUGUCCAUGUCAGAGAGAACUAAAGCCUGGCUGGAGGACUGAAAAGAUUCUCCAGGUUAAUUCUUCUUCUGAGCCUGAACAUGACAGAGGGUCCAGCUGCAUCAGAUGAUCAUCCCUGUGAUGACUGAUGAGAGCUAAAAUGGAACUUUACAAGUUUAUCCAAAUACUGAC